rnacentral:rRNA from 1 species
AACCUCCGCAAUGUACGAAAGUGCGACGGGGGGAUCCCAAGUGUUAUGCUUUUUGUAUAACUUUUCAUUAGUGUAAAAAGCUUUUAGAAUAAGAGCUGGGCAAGACCGGUGCCAGCCACCGCGGUAACACCGGCAGCUCGAGUGGUAGCUGUUUUUAUUGGGCCUAAAGCGUUCGUAGCCGGUUUGAUAAGUCUUUGGUGAAAGCUUGUAGCUUAACUAUAAGAAUUGCUGGAGAUACUAUCAGACUUGAAGUCGGGAGAGGUUAGAGGUACUACCGGGGUAGGGGUGAAAUCCUAUAAUCCUGGGAGGACCACCUGUGGCGAAGGCGUCUAACUGGAACGAUCUUGACGGUGAGUAACGAAAGCCAGGGGCGCGAACCGGAUUAGAUACCCGGGUAGUCCUGGCCGUAAACGAUGUGGACUUGGUGUUGGAAUGGCUUUGAGUUGUUCCGGUGCCGAAGGGAAGCUGUUAAGUCCACCGCCUGGGAAGUACGGUCGCAAGACUGAAACUUAAGGAAUU